AGAAUAGCAUAGAAGCAAAGACUGUGCUAAACAGACCUAGAUUCUGAGCAGAUCACAUUCUUCUUGAAGAAAGCUGGAAAUAUGAUAAGAAGGGAAGGACUCUCAAGAAGCAAGGGGUUUCUCUGAAAGUGCUGCUUUCAUAGCCUUCCUGCAAUGCCUGGAUCCUGAGGGCCAGAAGAACUUAUAUAUUAAUGAAAGAGCUCUGAGCACCUGAUGUUUGGAAUCUGUGAUGUGACAAAGGCAUUGAAGUUGAGGGCACAGCUCUUCAACUACAAGCAGGAAUCAGAAAAAACGUUAACUCAAAGUGGAUGACUCUUUAACCUUCCAAAGUCCCAUGGUAGUGAAACACUUCCUCCAACAAUGCCAUGUUCUCCAAACCAUCCAAACGAUGCUUUCAAUUGGGAACCAAGUUUUCAAGUGCAAGAGUCUAUGGAGGAAAGUCUCAUUCAAAUUAUGAAAGAAAAAAAUUUCUAAUAUUUAAAUCAGACAGAAUUUAAGCAACUUCUGUACAUCUAUCAGUAAUACAAAACUAAUGUUAAAUGUAGAACAGUUCAUUUUAGAAAGAUGUCCCCUAGAGUAACAAGAAAACUGGGAUAUACAUAGAGCAUUUGUAAGGGUCAGAAAAAAUUGGAACCUGAAACUAAGUAAAUGAUAGACACCAUUCCCAGAAAUAUUAAGAUAACUAUUUUGAAUUUCUUAGAAAAAAAGUUUUAUAAUUUCAUGAAAUUCAAGAUGAUAUCAGAAGAUUGCUUGACAUUUUCUAACUUAUGUUUUUCAAUUUAUUAGUAAGAAUUUCUGUUAUAAAGAAUCUUAGUAAUGACAUUCUAUCAAAAAAAUUCAAUUAAUUCAAGCUUGUCACAACUACGUACACAAUGCUUCUCUAUCAAAGAAAGUCAAAUGGUGUAAGGAAAACUAAAUAGAUUUGUUUUCACUAUCAAAUAUGUAAAUCUGCUUUAUUUAUAAGUAAGUUUUCAUUUGCUUUUAAUUAGACAUUUGAAAUAAGCAUGUAUGCAUAUUGAAUCAUAUUUCAAGAAAUACUCUGUGCUCUCUGUUAGUUUAAAUUCAUCUUAUUGUUACCAAUUUGGUGGUAAAGUAUAAUAUUUUAUUAUAUAGACAUUUUUAUAUCAAAUAAACCAUCUUAAAAUUCAA
rnacentral:lncRNA from 1 species